UCCUAAAUUGAAUCUUCCUUGAUUGCAUCAUAUGGUGGGUUGGGAAAGUUGAAAAAUUGCAAAUGCAUGCAGCAGGUAUUUGUAUGGUUUGGAUGUAGAUCAGUUCUGGCCACUGGGGUGCUUGAUAUUUCAACUGUGUUAUCUUCAUGGUUAAAAUUUUUUAUUUUGAUUAAUGUGCAUUUUGGAGUUGAAGUUGUGCUUAUUUGAAGGUGAAGAAUAUCGAGUCAUCAAUUUGAUCUUCUUCUUUGUGCUUUAUUUAACUUUAAUAUGAGAGUUUACUGCUUCCAUACAUCAAUUGUAUUUCAAUGAUUCUUAUGACGUUUGGGAAAGUAGGCUGGCCAUUGUCCAUAUUGAAUAUUGAUAUGGGUAACUACAUCUUAGAUUGUUCCAAAGUUAAUUAGUAUAA
rnacentral:misc_RNA from 1 species